ACCUGGUUGACCCUGCCAGAAGCAUAUACUUGUCUCAAAGAUUAAGCCAUGCAUGUGUAAGUACACAGGGCUGGUACAGUGAAACUGUGAAUGUCCCAUUAAAUCAGUUAUGGUUCCUAUGAUCGCUCUGUUACUUGGAUAACUGUGGAAAUUCUAUAGCUAAUACAUUCUGAUGAGUGCUGAACUCAUGACUUCCCAAGAUGUGUGCAUUUAUGCCACCAAGACCAAUCUGGGCUCACCUGGCCGCUUUGGUGACUCUAGAUAACCUUGGGCCGAUCCCAUGACCCUGUGAGGGCAACAAUGCAUUCAGAUGUCUACCCUAUCAACAUUCGAUGGUACUUUCUGUGCCUACCAUGGUGACCACAGGUAAUGGGGAAUCAGGGUUCGAUUCCUGAGAGGGAGCCUGAAAAAUGGCUACCACAUCCGAUAAGGGCAGCAGAAGUGCAAAUGACCCACUCCUGUUCAUAGCAGGCCAGUUUCUUGAAUACUUCAGCUAGGAAUAAUGAAAUAGGACUCUGGCUCUAUUUUGUUGUUUUUCAUAACUGGGGCCCUGAUUAAGAGGGACGGCCGGGGGCAUUCGUAUUGUGCUUCUAGAGGUGAAAUUAUUGGACCGGCACAAGGUGAGCUAAAGGCGAAAGCAUAUGCAAAGAAUGUUUUCAUUAAUCAAGAACGAAAGAUGGAGGUUCGAAGAUGAUCAGAUAUGUCGUAGUUCUGACCAUAAACAAUGCCGACUAGAGAUCCAGCAGCGUUAUUCCCAUGACCCACCAAGCAGCUUCUGGAAAACCAAUGUCUUUGGGUUUUGGGGGGAGUAUGGUUGCAAAGCUGAACCUUAAAGGAAUUGACAGAAGAGCAACACCAGGAGUGGAGCCUCCUGCUUAAUUUGACUCAACACGGGAAACCUCACCUGGCCCGGACACACAAACGAUUGGCAGAUUGAUAGCUCUUUUUCGAUUCUGUGAGUGGUGGUGCAUGGCUGUUCUUAGUUUGUGGAGAGAUUUGUCUGGCUAAUUCCGAUAACGAACGAGACUCCUACAUGCUAACUAAUUAUGCAACUGCCAGCGGUCAGCGUUCAACUUCAUAGAGAGACAAGUGGCGUUCAGCCACACGAUAGUGGACAAUAACAGGUCUUUGAUGCCCUUAACAGUGCUGCAUGCGUGCUACACUGAACCGAUCGGCCUGUGUCUACCCUUCGCCAACAGGUGUAGAUAACCCGCUGAAUCCCGUUCAUGAUAGGGAUUCGGGUUGUAAUUAUUUCCCAUGAACAAGGCAUUCCCAGGAAGUUCAGGUCAAAGCGUUGAGUUGAUUAAGUAUGUGCCCUUUGUACACACCGCCGUCGCUACUACCGAUUGGAUUGUCUGUGCCUUAUGUACAAACACCCACCCAUCGCUACUACUGAUUGGAUGAUUUAGUGAGGUCCUCAAGAUCUUUUAGAGGAAGUAAAAGUCGCAAAAGGUUUCCAUUGGUGAACCUGUAGAAG
rnacentral:rRNA from 1 species